rnacentral:rRNA from 1 species
CCUACGGGUGGCAGCAGUGGGGAAUAUUGCACAAUGGGGGAAACCCUGACGCAGCGACGCCGCGUGAGUGAAGAAGGAUUUCGGUAUGUAAAGCUCUAUCAGCAGGGAAGAAAAUGACGGUACCUGAUUAAGAAGCCCCGGCGAACUACGUGCCAGCAGCCGCGGGAAUACGUAGGGGGCAAGCGUUAGCCGGAUUUACUGGGGGUAAAGGGAGCGGAGACGGCAGCGCAAGUCUGGAGUGAAAUGCCGGGGCUUAACCCCGGAGCUGCUUUGGAAACUGUGCAGCUAGAGUGCAGGAGAGGUAAGUGGAAUUCCAAGUGUAGCGGUGAAAUGCGUAGAUAUUAGGAGGAACACCAGUGGCGAAGGCGGCUUACUGGACUGUAACUGACGUUGAGGCUCGAAAGCGUGGGGAGCAAACAGGAUUAGAUACCCUUGUAGUC